rnacentral:rRNA from 1 species
GACGAACGCUGGCGGCGUGCUUAACACAUGCAAGUCGAACGAAGUGGCGAACGGGUGAGUAACGCGUAAUCAACCUGCCCUUCAGAGGGGGACAACAGUUGGAAACGACUGCUAAUACCGCAUACUGAAGGGGGGGAUUGCGUCUGAUUGGCUCGUUGGAGGGGUAACGGCCCACCACGGCGAUGAUCAGUAGCCGGUCUGGGAGGGAGAACGGCCAAAUUUGGACUGGGACACGGCCCAGACUCCUACGGGAGGCAGCAGGGGGGAAUCUUCCGAAAUGGAGGAAAGUCUGACGGAGCAAAGCCGCGUGAGUGAUGACAGCCUUCGGGUUGUAAAGCUCUGUUAAUCGGGACGCGGUACCGGAAUAGAAAGCCACGGCUAACUACGUGCCAGCAGCCGCGGUAAUUC